CUUCUGUUCUGUUACCACAGGAGUGAGACUGUGGCCCGUGUGCUGCCCAAUCUUGCCUGGAACCGGCUGCUGCUGCUGCUCUUUUGCUUCUGCCUUAACCCUGGGUUACCCUCAUUCCCUAUUCUCCUGCCUCAGAUUGGAUGGUGCUGCCCACAUCGAGGUGGAACAGGAAUUAAAAGAAAUUAAAGAAUAUGUAAGCAGAAACUCAGUUGUAUGUAAGAAAACCCAAUUCCCCCUGAGAAAGAGAAAGUGCUGAAGUCCUUUAAAAUUAACUGCCUGUUUUUCUGUGGCUAGUGAGCCUUAUUUCUCCCUUUCCCAGGCAUUGCGAAGACCCUGUUUCUCUAGCCGUGCAGCUGCAAGGUCAUAAACAGAUAAACUCAAGUAGCAAAACAUGUUUUUCUUUGAAAAGUAAGAAAUGAUGUAAUGCAUGUCUCAAUUAAUUGAAUAACUGUCUUUGUUUCUCGCUUCUGUAACAUGCUUCCCCCUGCACAGAUCUCCCUCCACCCCACGAAAUGCCUAAGAGGUAACUUAACUCUUUGUUCAGGGCUCAGUCCUUUGGAUGUUAAUCCGACUGGGCUGGUGCACCUAAAUAAUAAAUAUCUUCCUCAA